rnacentral:misc_RNA from 1 species
CGGGGUAUCUGUUUGGUGGAACCUGAUUAGAGGAAACUCAAAGAGUGCUAUGG